GAGCACGUAGGUGGGUUUGUAAGUCAGAUGUGAAAGCCUUCUGUUCAACGGGAGAAUUGCAUCUGAAACUACAGACCUUGAGUAUAGGAGGGGAGAAUGGAACUUCUGGUGGAGCGGUGAAGUGCGUAGAUAUCAGAAGGAACGCCGGCGGCGAAAGCGAUUCUCUGGCCUAUUACUGACACUCAGUGUGCGAAAGCUAGGGGAGCAAACGGGAUUAGAUACCCCGGUAGUCCUAGCCGUAAACGAUGGGCACUAAGUAGAGGGGUUUU
rnacentral:rRNA from 1 species